CUGUGGAUAAAUCAAUAAAAUUAAUUAUCUAUCUAUUUAAAAAAAAAUCAAGAAAAACAAUAGCUUGUCAAUCAAACUCCUCAUUGAAAAAGGGUGAUCGAGAAUUCGAGAUUGUUCGAAAAGACAAACAUAUAUAAUUUUUUUUUUAAUCCUUGAAUAUAACGUACUAGCAAUCCUAUGAAAGGAAGCUGCUGACUGCUGUUGCUACUAAAUACGUCCCACAACAAAUUGCCCCAUUAGAAUUAAAUCAAGGACGACAAUACAAUACGAGUGAAAGAAUCAAAAGAGUAAUUCUCAUCAGGAUAAAGCAGCAAAAUCUUACUAAUCGCCCUACUUUGCUAAAAAUGAACACGAGAGAAGUAAGACACAAAACAACUCCCUUACAAAAAAGAACACAGUUUAUGGAUCAAAAGGAAAUAGUUUCGGCCACAUCUCUCUCUCUCUCUCUCUCUCUCUCGAGUCUCGAGUCUCAUUAUUGUUUGGUAUUUGGACUGGCUGUGGCUUAUAAACAUGUGUAAACACUAUUACCGUAUUUGAUGUGUAUGGUAAGCAUGAACCCUCCUGUAGUGUUCAUUUGUCCAAAUCCAUGGUCAUCGUACCUCUCCUUUGCCCUCUCCCCAAUUUAGUCCUAGUCC
rnacentral:lncRNA from 1 species